rnacentral:rRNA from 1 species
UACGGAGGGUGCAAGCGUUAUCCGGAUUCACUGGGUUUAAAGGGUGCGUAGGUGGGCAGUUAAGUCAGUGGUGAAAUCUCCGGGCUCAACCCGGAAACUGCCAUUGAUACUAUCUGUCUUGAAUAUCGUGGAGGUAAGCGGAAUAUGUCAUGUAGCGGUGAAAUGCGUAGAUGUGACAUAGAACACCAAUGGCGAAGGCAGCUUACUGGACGAAUACUGACACUGAGGCACGAAAGCGUGGGGAGCAAACAGG